rnacentral:tRNA from 1 species
GCGGGUAUAAUUUAGUGGUAAAAUGUCAGCUUCCCAAGCUGAACAUGGGGGUUCGAUUCCCCCUACCCGCU